UCCACUAAGGGAUUGUUCCUUUUGCUUUCAUUUGAGGGAGUAGCAUAUUAGCACCCCACUAGCACUGGACUGCACAUUCAGAAACCAUAGAGGCAAAGUGCUCAUUAUAUUAGACAAUGGAGCACUGCUCUUCAGCUAUAUAAACCUGGAUAUACAAUGUUUCGAUGCAGUGUUCAAGGAAUGGAAAGGCUAGAGGAUCCGGGGAAACAAGCAAGAAGAUGACUUCCAAGAUAAGAGGCAGGACUUCGGUGCUUGUUCUUCUGCUCAUUGUUGUGUCAGUGCUUUUGGUAUGCACCGAAGGAGAAAAAGAGCUAGCGAAUGAAAAGGCUCGCAAGGUGCUUCCUGGUGCUGCAUCUGCAAAGAGAGGAAUUGGUUCUAGAGACAUGGUUAAGACAAAUGAUUACGGACGCUACGACCCGAGCCCGUCAUUUUCCAAGCCUCGCUUCAAGCUCAUACCCAACUGAAUGACUGACUGCUAGUUUGCUUUGUGUCGUCCCGUACCGAGCGAUGUGAAACUUAUUAACAAUAAUACAUAUUACAUAGAAAGAUGACAUAUGUGAAGUGAUGUUAUAUGCUUGUGAAAAGUAUGUAUGGAUCAUGCAUGGAUGGAUCCUAGAAAUAGUCGUGUGUACUAGUAGAAAUCUAGAAUAUAGGUAACUUGUGUAAUAUAAUAUCGAUGGCCUCGGUGCCUCUACUGAAUGUACUCUGCUUGUUCUAGUGCAGACAGUUGUCAGUGCUUCGGUUUGGUGAAA